rnacentral:lncRNA from 1 species
GGCGAACGACGUUGGGAGAGAGAGAGGUGGGAGAGAUUUGGGAGAGAUCGAAGGAGAGAGUGGGGAGAGAGAGAUUGGAGGUGGGGUUGGGGUUGUUGCGGUGGUGGGUUUUGAUUAGGGAGUGGAGUUGGUCUGAAAUUAGGGUUUCGGAUGGGGAGAGAUGGAGGAUGGGUUUGAUUAAUUCGGGUUCUUCGAGAGUUUGUAGGGCUGGAGAGGUGAGUGUUGAGAGAGGAGAGAUGAGGUGGGAGGUGAGACGUAGGCAUUGCUUUGACUUGAUUAUCAUGGCCGCCAUGGCAGUAGGGGGAGGAAGCUAGCAACCAAAAUGGAUACCAAAAAUAGUGUUAGGAUUGGUGCAGGGUUUAUGGUAUAAAACUUUUUUAAUAUUUUUUUUUGUCACGAGGAACAUAAUUCAUUAAAAAAGAAUUGAAGAUACAAAUAUCUCCUUCCUUGGAAAAAGUAUAUAAUUCAAAAUCAAAAUAAGUAAGUACUUUCGAAUAUUAGAUAAUAUCAUAUUUAACGUCUGAAAUGAUUAUAACCUAAAAAAGAUCACAUUAAAAUUUCGCAGGAGUAAAAUUUUAAAAGAAAAGAACUUAAAGAAUAAAAAAGAAUGUCUAAAAAAAUGAAUACAUCGUUUAUAAAUAGUCUAAAGACAAAAGGGGAAAAAUAGCCGGUUUGAUUCGUGAACUGCUACUGAUUUUGAAAAGAAGAAUCGAUUUAGCGUCUUAUGAGAUUAUGGGAUUAAAGAGUGUAUUAGAUUAAGACUUUGAAAGAUUUUUAUUCAUUUAUGAAAUCAGAAAAUAUUCAAUUUAGAUUUUAUAAAAUGUAUCAAAUUGGUGGGAUAUUCAAUUAAGAUUUAAAUUAUACACAACUUUUGGUGAAUUCAAUUAGAAUUUCAGAGUAUAUUUACAAAUUUGAUAACAUUCGAUUGAUAUUUUUUAUCCACUAAAAUUUGAUGAUAUUUAAAUGUUAAUGAAUUUUUUUGGAAUUCUUAAAAUGAUGGAAUUUUCACUUGACCCACUCAUCUCAUCGAGGACUCAUUUAGUCAUUAUAAAUAAAAUAUAUAUCAUUUUACCCACAUCAUUAGUCAUACAUCUUAAUUAUUUAUCAAAAAAUAAUCGUUUGGUUUUUACUGCAAAACCGCUUCGAAUAUUUUCAUAAUUGUCUCUAGUAUUUAUCAAAAUAAUUUGAGAAUUUAUAAAGAAACCUAGUUAUGUAUUUAAAAAUAUAUAUAGCUAUAAAUAUAUAUUUAUGUGAUCAUCCUAGCUAUGUUCUAUUAUAAAUUUCCCAAUUAUUUUGAUAAAUAUUAGAGACAAUUAUGAAAGUACUCGAAAUGAUUUUGUAGUAAAAAAACAAACCAUUGAUUUUUGAUAAAUGAUUGAGUAAAGAUAUAUGAAUAGUAAUAUAGAUAAAAUGAUAUAUAUUUGAUUUAUAUAGUGGUUUAAAUGGAUAAUAAGAUAUUUUGACCCACAUGCAUGAAAGAUUAUGGAAAAAGUAAUUAUAUUCAUAUUAUAAUUUGGGCCAAAAAUAUUUUACUUUGACCAAUUCUAUGCAGAGUUCGAAGUGAAUUACCACUUCCAAAGUUUUCUGAUUAUUAAUUUCUUUAAAAUCUUUUAAUGUUUUAAUUGAUGAACUCUGUAAAGAGUGUGUAGAUUAAUGGUGCAUGAACAAAGUGUGUAGAUUAAUGGUGCAUGAACACCAGCUCUGUUCCGCAUUGCUCCACCAUCAUGUAAGCUCCAAGCACCAUCACCAAGUAUGCAAUCCUCGCAAUCUUUCCCUUAAAUAGCAGUAAUUAUAGGCCUCUUAAAGUGUGCGAGUAGACAAUUUCUGUACUGGUAAUUUGACGAUAUAUAUGCAGGCAGGUUGGGGAGUACUUUAGAUAUUUAACUAACAGUCGUGACAAUAUCGGACAUGACCCCAAUCCGCAACCCGAUUCACUUAGACAAAAUCCGAAAUUCAUCCGACUGACCCGAAAUUAGAAUUUGAUUCUUACAAAACUUAAAUUUUCAGUUUAAUUCAAUUUCAAGUGAUUUUAGCUUAACCCGAAAUUGACUUGUUUGCCGACAAGAACACUGCCCUGAUGCGGUGAAUGGUGAUGCAUGCCUUACCAUUCUUAUGUCUGAUUGUAUGUAUGGUUACUUGUUAGGCUUCAUCUGAGAAACUACAUAUCUUCUCAAAAGAUGUGACAUGACAUGAGGCUGGCGGUUCCAUCUGGUAUGUUUAUUCCUUCAGUUUUCUGGGAUUCAUCUACUUGCAUAAUUUCUUCUACUUUGCCUAAUUCAUUUAUAGCUCCCAUCAGAAUGUAAAUCAUGAUGAAAACAUAUGGUUUGUUAAAUCAGUUAAACAUGCAUGAAAUAGUAAUUUACUUGUAAUGUGAUAAAGCCACAUUUGAGAUUUGACAUCCUAACUGUUAGUUAAACCUAAUUUCCCAAGUCCAAUUUCCGCCAACUAUCCUAUAAAUACUUGCUUGGUCUACCUGCAAUAUCAUCCUUGACACUUUUAUAUAUCUAGUUAGUAAAAUGGCAAACGUUGCAUACUUAGCAGUGGUAUUGGUGGUGGUGGCGGCUCGUAUGCUGGUGGAGCCGGGUGAAGCUCUAACAUGUGGUGCACCCGAGGAACAGAGGACAGGAGCUGUGUGCAAUGUUUAUACCAGAGGUGAUCAACCAGAGCCAUCUGGUGAGUGCUGCAAUGCGUAUAGAGCACUACAGUAGUCAGGAAGCAACUUCACAAAGCAGAUAUAAUCGUGGUGCUACUGCUAAUCCUGCUGCUCGUAUUCCAAGAUUUGAUUCUCUAUCAGAAAAAUGCGGACUUCCUUUUCUUUUCUCUGCUGAUCCUGAAUUCGAUUGCAAAACGUAAGUGUCUCUGAUCUGAUCAUUUCAUUAGCUUUCCAUUUUAUAGGCUAAGCUUUUUAUCUGUAAAAGCUAGCCACAAUAAUACAGAAGUCAAUAUGCUCUCAUGGAUUUUUAUUUUGCUUUCUUAUGCAGAGAAUAUUGAGGUCACUUUCUUGCAUGGAAAAGCAGUUGGAGGACAAACAAUAAUGCUAUAGCUACUUGUAUUUCUGCGCUAUUCAUUGUAAUAAGUCCCUUUAAGAAAGAGGCCUUUGUUUUUAUACAAAUGACAACUACACUGAGAAGUUUCUGCAGUGUUCUUACAUGCCCUUGUCUGAGAUGAGUAUAUUCAAAUGAAUGAUGUAUAUCAUCCAUAUCAUCUAAUCAGCAUCAACUUUAUGCACUAUAAGUGAUGUAAACUUUUAAACAUCUAGAGAAUCAACAAAAGGGUCAAAACCAAGGCUAGACUAUCUUGAAUGUCAGAUUCAGAAUAUGACAGGCAGGAUACUCUCAACUGCGUCAAUGAAAUUUAUUCUUGAAAAAGAAAUCAGAUUUGGUUUUCAACUGCGAUUGGUCUGAAGGUUCGGUCUAGCAUUAGAUGAUGUCACUCUCAUAAGGUGUUUGAGAUUAGUAAACUCAACUCCUGGGUAAUGAAGCCAAAUGAGAAUCUGGUUUAGCUCCUUAAAUGAUUAGGGAACUGUACAUAGGCCCAAGGUCUCUAAACUCUCUAGAUCCCCAAGAUUUUGUGGUAUAUGUCCCCAGAGUCUAUUAUUGGACACGUUGAGUAGUUUGAGUCUCUUGAGAUCUCCUAGUGACGCUGGAAUAUACCUUGUGUAGUAGCCUUUUUCCAUUUCACCAUCAAGUCAUUGAUCUUGAUCGAAAAGGAGAACAUGCGACUGAAUGAUGUAACUGAGGCCAUAGUUCAUUUAGAUGAGAGAUCUACAUAUUAUCUUCUAGCUCAACACCAGAGUGGAAAUGUUGGACAAGCUUCCAAUCUGACUUGGAAUCUGCAUCUGUAAACGAUUAUUUCUCAAAUCCAAUAUUUCCAAUCACUUCACAACUGAAUCUGGAAUCCAACCCGAAAAUUGAUUAUGGUAGAGAGAAUCUGUACAGGUAUAUUUCCAUCAACAACAUUUUGAUCCAACUUCAAUAUCCUCAAAUCUUCGAGCUUGCCAACUUCACUGCUCAAACCACCCUUUAACAAAUUAUGACUUAAAUCAAGAAACUGCAAGAACAUUAACUGAAAUAGUUGUGUACGAAUUGAGCCAUUAAAUAUGUAGCUUAAGUUCUUAAUCGAACAAAAUUAAACUUAAUAUGCAAUUAUAUUUUUAUCUGUGAGCUUAAAUUUUUGAUGAAAUUAAAUCAUCAUUCAAUUUUGUAAACUUUCCACAAAAUUUUCAAAAUUGUACAUUAAAAAUAUAAUCAAACACCAAUAUACACCUUUUGGAAUUUUCAUAAAAUCUACCUUUCCUAAAUCUCAUAAUAUACACUCGCAUUGAUUAAUCUGAUAAUAUCUACAUUUAUUGAUCUCCACCUAUCCACUCGCAUUGAUUUCCAUACUUUUGGAUAAUUAUGUUUAAAUAUAAAUAAUAUAAAAAUUAUGAUAUAUAAGUUCCUCUAUUAUCUUACGAAAAAAAUUAUAAAAAAUUAAAUAUUUUUUUUUUGAGAAAUCGUAACAUUACUUUAUACUGAGAUAUGAUAUUGAAAGUCAUGUAUGCUUUGCCAAAGUAGCAAAUGCAUGCAACCUUAUGAAACAUAUAAGUUUCAUGGUAUAUGUGGCUUAAAUAACUACUAAUGGUAUCUGUAGCUUAAGUAACUACUAAUGAGAUGGAAGUUUCAUGCAGAGGUAUGUGAAAAAAUUUCUUAAAAUGAUAAUUAUUUUUUAGUAUUAUUACGUGCACAAAAUUGUGUAUAAAAAAAUUGUAUACAAUGACGUGGCAAUUGAUGUGGUGUGUUUUAAUUGGGGUUGUUGAUGUAAAUACAGGGCACAUUCCAAUUAAAACCGACCACAUGUUAUUAUGUACAGAAUUUUGUAUACAAUUAUGGACACCAAGCAUUUUUCAUUAUUUUUUUUUUAUCUCUAAGCCUAAGUUUCUGAUGAAAUUAAAAAAUCAUUCAGUUUUGUAAACUUUUCUGGAAAAUUUUAAAAUUAUACAUUAAAACAUAAUUACACACCAAUAUACAACAUUUGGAAUUUUCAUAAAAUCUAUAUAACUCUGUUUUCUUGUUCUUGUGUUGACUAUACAAACAUUAUACAUCCACUCCAAUUAAUUUCCAACAUGCAGGUGCAUCAUGUACUUUUAGAUAAUUUUGUUUAAAUAUAAAUAAUAUAAAAAAGUACGAUAUAUAAGUUCCUCCAUUAUCUUACGAAAAAAAUUAUAAAAAAUUAAGUCUAACUCCCGCUUUUUGAGAAAUCAUAGCAUUACUUUUUACUGAGAUAUAAUAUUGAAAGUCAUGUAUGCUUUGCCAAAGCAGCAAAUGCAUGCAAAGCGAAAUGUUACUAGAGGUGGCCAUUCGGGCGGGUCGGGGCGGUUCGGGCCGGUUCAGGCGGUUUUCGAACCGUCGCCGGUGAAACCGUAACCGGCACGGCUAUACAAGCGGGCCGGGCCGAGCCGUGCCGGGUUAAGAGAGUGUGGAACCGGAACCGUAUAAUACGGGUUAGGUGGGUUGUACGGGUUGGCGGUUUUGGACCGGCCGACGGUUCAACCGACGGUUCAACGUGAACCGCGGUUUGCGUGAAAUGAAGUGGUUUGUUAGAAUUUGGAAUGAAGUGACCGACUAUGAUUGCUUUGCUUUGUUUUAUUUUAAUUUUUUUUCUUUUCAUUAACAAGUGUUAGUUUUUGAACCGAUUUUAGUUUAAUAUUAUUGUUUAUUUUAGUUUGAUCUUAUAAUUUAAUUUAAUUAUUAAUAAAUUGUAAACAAAUAAAUAAUAUUUUGAUAAUAAAUAAUGUUUUGGUAAAAAAAAGAUGGUACUUCUUAUAAAUUUUAUUUGUUAAACAUAAUGCGGAACAAAUUUAGUUAGUAAAACAAAAUCAACCCUAAACCAAAUUAAUUUUUAAAACAAAAUCAAAACAAAAACAAAUUAUUUUUAUAAGUUUUAUAACAAAAUCGAAAUUAAACUAAAUUAAUUUUUAAAACAAAAUCAAAACAAAGUGAAAUUAAUUUUUAAAACAAAUUGAAAACAGAAUGAAAUUAAUUCUUAAAACAAAAUCAAAAUGAAAUUAAUUAAACUAGUCUCAACUUUACAAACUAAAAUGAAAUCAAAUAACUAAACUAUAAACAAAAACUAAAACAUAAAUAAAAUUAAAACAGAGUGCGUACUUGCGAACAAAUUCACGGUUUGGCGGGCCGGUCCCGAUUCGGGCCGUGCCGUGCCGAACCUUUAUGGUUUGGCGGGCCGUGCCGGUCCGCUUCACGGUCCCCAACCUCCAGACCCGUAUUCGGCACGUCGUCUUAAGCGGUCCGUGCGGGUUUUGAACCGGCCCGUGUUUAGACGGUUUCGGGCGGUUGAAAAGGCGGUUCGGGGCGUGCCGGUCUGUUCGGUCUGACCCGAAUGGCCACCUCUAAAUGUUACUGAUCAAGCUCAUGCAUAAAUCAUUACAGCAAAUUUCCUAGUCUUGUCUGAAGUAUAAUACUAUUAAUACACAGAUAUGAGAUUGUCAUAAUGGUGUUCCUGGUGCUCAUCAUCUGUAGAUUUUGUAGGUGACAAAUUGACACCCUUAAGGAAAUUUCACUAAAUUUCUAUGUGCUUGACAACAUUACAAUUAUAAAAAGGUCUAAUGUCUAAGGACUCUUAUAAAGUGUUACACAACUCCUCAAACUACGCGUUACUCUUUGCCCAUGGUGAAUGGAGUGGUGCUUUGGUCUUGGAACAAAAUAUCCACUAACAAAUGCUACCACUACUGAUAAAAUGAAACCAAGUGGGAAUUCAAUCCCCUAUCCUGCCCACAAAAACCAUGAUUCCUCUUCAUAGUCAUCACCCUCUUCGUGUGCAUAUAGUGUCAGCUCAUCUUUUGAACAUUGCACCCUGAUUCGCAUCCCACAUAAUCCCCUGUUGUUAGAAAAAUAUCGCGGAUCAUUUAUCCUGUCCAUUUGUCCACCCCGCGGGAUUUUACCACUUAGCUUCCUGUUACUUACAUCUAAUAGGGAUAGUUGCUCUAGCUCCGUAAAUGAUUGUGGAAUUGUGCCCGAGAUAUUGUUGUUAGAUAGGUCCAAGGUCUCUAAACUCUCUAGAUCCCCAAGAUUUUGUGGUAUAUGUCCCGAGAGUCUGUUAUUGGACACGUUGAGUAGUUUUAGUCUCUUCGGAUUUCCUAGUGAAGCUGGAAUAGCACUUGAAAGCUCAUUCUUCGACAAGUCAAUCAAUUAGUAGAUGUGUUGGUUAUGACUUGAUAGACCUUGUGUAGCCUUUUUCCAAUUCACCAUCAAGUCAUUGAUCUUGAUCGAAAAAGAGAACAUGCGACUAAAUGAUGUAAACUGUACCCUCAAUCCUGUUUACAACUAUGUCGUCAGUUCCCAUGCCAUUUGUAUACAUAAUCUCAUGGGGAAUCAUUUCUUUUAGAUUUCCGAACUCUGAAGGGAUACUUCCAGCAAGAUUGUUAUUUGAGAGAUCAAGAUUUUGGAGUUUACUUUGGUUGGAGAAUGAGUUGGGUGCUAGUGAGCCAUGUAGAGAAUUGUUACGCAGAACUUGAAGGUAUGUCAAUUCAAAAAUAAACUCUGGGAAAUUACCUGUAAUGUUGUUGUCAUGGAGAUCAAGAUAUCAAGACUCGUCAAAUUCAUUAGGUCCUUAAGCAAGAUAAUUAACUUUCUGGAAUCAAUACACUCCUGUUAGAAAGAAUCUUGAUAGAUAGAGUGGGAUUAGUUCGACUAAUGUUCUCUUCAAUACAUUUAUGUGCCCAAAUCAAUCCUCAGGAUUCAACCUUGUGCAGUGAGGCCUAGAGCUCUUUGGUCUCAACACUUAUGAUCUUUUGUCGCGAUCAGUGACCAUUAUUUUUUUACUUGACUCAUUUCCAAGAUUAAUGUGUUUGCAUAAGUGAGUAUGCAGUUGCUCUUCCAAGUUUGAUGCAGAGGUAGGUAAGAUAAUUUCCAAAAAUGAAAAAAAAUAAAAAAUAUCUAUGAGCUUAAGUUUUUGAUGAAAUUAAAAGAUGAAUCAAUUUUUUAAACUUUUGUGAUUUUUUUUAAAAUUUUACAUUAAAAAUAUAAUCAGAUUCUAAUAUACAAUAUUUGGAAUUAUGAUUAUAUAUAUAUAUAUAUAUAUAUAUAUAUAUAUAUCCUCUAGAUUUGAUAAGAUCUGCUCCAAUUGAUUUCCAACCCGAAUGACUUGUUUUUCAAUCUUUUCGGUCUUUGUUCCGUAGUAGCAAAUCAGAAAGAUUGAGAAAUAGAACCAUCUAAUUUGAUUUGUUCUCGAUAGCCAUGAGUUGAUCGGCUCCUAUUAUACUCGUAGUCUCUCGAGGAUAUUUAGAUUAGAACCAACUAUGUAGCAUCUACAUCGAGAAUAAAAAUAUUGUAUACGUCAUUAGUCCGAUCCUUUACAAGAACUACCCGUAAUAAAAGGCUUGCUAUUGAUCCUGUCACCUUAAUUGUUAUUUGAACAAGUCAAUGCAUUAUGUACUUUUAAAUAAUUAUGUUCAAUAAUAAAUAAUAUAAGAAGUAUGAUAUAUAAGUUCCUCCAUUAUCUUACGAAAAAAAUUAUAAAAAUUUAAAUCAACUCCGAUAAGUAAAACUUAAAUCAAUUCCGAUAAGUGUUUUCUAAGAAACCAUAGCAUUACUUUUUGUUGACAUAUAUAAUACCGGAAGUCAUGUAUGCUUUGCCACAGCAGCAAGUGCAUGCAAAGCGAAAUGUUGGUGAUCAAGCUCAUGCAUAAAUCGUUAUUGCAGAUUUCCUAGUUUAGUCUGAACUCUGAAGUUUAAUAUAUUAAUACACAGAUAUGAGAUUGUGAGAAUGGUGUUCAUGGUUGCUCAUCAUCUGUUGAUUUUGUAGGUGACAAAUUGAUGCCUUGAGGAGAUUUGCUACAUUUCUCAUUAUUUACCAUUAUAAUGUCAGUACCCAUGCCCAUCCAAAACACAAUGUUACCUUAAAUCAUUCCCUUUAGAUUUCCCAUCUCUCAAGGGAUACUUCAAUCAAAAUUGUUACUUGAGAGAUCAAGUAUUCGAAGGUCACUUUGGUUGCAGAAUGAGGUUGAUGCUAGUGAGCCAAUUAGAGAGUUGUUACGUAGACUCUAGAACUUGAAGUUCAGAUAAUUGGGAAAUAUAUUCUAGGAAGUUACCUGUAAUGUUGUUGUCAUGGAAAUCAAGAUAUUCUAGAUUUGUCAGAUUUAUUAGGCUCUUAGGCAGCUUGCCAGAAAACUUAUUUUCCCCUGGUGCAAGGAUACCUAUUAGAGUGGAAAAUGACACAGGAUGAGAGAUCUACAUAAUAAAGUAAGCCAAGAGGAUUAAAAACUGGAAACAGACUUUGCAAUGAGCCCAAAUUUAAAGAUUUAAAUAGGUGAGAAGGAAUUCAACCAGUAAGGUUGUUAUCUGACAGUAGUAAACUUCCAACAUUCAUCUCAGCAAGCCAUUGCGGGAGUCUUCCUGUGAGGUGAUUGUUACUCAGGUCCAGAAUAUCAAGAUACUUUAUUGUGGAAAUCCAUUCUGGAGUGUCUCAUUCAAUUUUGCAAGAUCUUAGAGACAUUUGAGGAAGCAUACACUUUGUAUUUAUUUUAACAUUGUUUUUCCAAAUCAUCUUAUUUUAACUCUCCAUCUCAAAUAGCCAGGAGGGUAUUUCUCCGGAAAGCAUAUUAUCUUCAAGCAUAAGUGUUUCUAACUUGCUCAUGUUUCGUAAAGAUCGUGGGAUUACACCUGAGAAACUGUUUUUGCUCAAUGCCAAAGUGGAAAUGUUUAACAAGCUUCCAAUCUCACUUGGAAUCUGCACUCGUAAAUUAUUAUCCCUCAAAUCCAACGGUCAGAAUUAUAACAAAAAUUUAAUACAUCCCGCGCUUUUUAACCGCUAGACGGGGUCAUUUUACCUCAUCCAGUGGUUAAAAAACGCCGAUCGGGUUACAUGAUGUAUAUAUAUAUAUAAAAAUUAUGUUAUAAUCUGGGCCGCUCGAUAUUCAUCCAACGGCCAGAAAAGUGAUGCUGGCUAAACCGUCCCCGGCAGUCGAGUGCCAGGGACCCGCGCCCAAUAUGUAAUGCCUGAGUUUGCACGGACUCUGUUAGAAGUCUAUAUGGUAAACUGAGUGCCUACUUGUAGUGGUGUUGUGUUCGAUUUUUCCCUUAUUUUCCUUUCCUUAUACUUUUAAGUCUCUAACUCUGAGCGAGUCAACUAAGAUUUGUCACGGUACUUAGAAGUGUAAAUGACGUUAACUAUUCAUGAGACAUUCAACGCUUUUCUGAUUUGAUCAUGACAAAGGAAGGCACGCGUGUUUUUAUCAGGCCUAGUGGUUUGGCCAUUGUUUUACUUCUGUUACUUGUUUUCGUAAAGUGCAGCGGGCUGGUGGAUGCUAAAUCAUAAGGAUGUAUGAACACAACUGAACAAUGUAAACUUUCCAAUGAAUUAAUCAUACACUACAACAAUUCUGGACAUUUACGACGGAUAUUUUACAACGGAAAAGGUGGAGCGCAAAACUUACUGACGGAAAACCAAAGAAUAAAUUUUUUAACUUGAAUGUGAUUCAGAUGAGUAACAUGAGCCGUACGUCUAUGUAAUACGAAAUUAAUGUUGCUUAAUCAGUUUUUCUCUCUGUUGAUCUUGGUUAUAGAUUAGUUGGUUACCGAAUUUUCAUUUAGUUGCAUGUUAGAAAUUUGAUUAGAGAAAUGUAAUACAUGUUAGAAAUUUUCAUUUAGUUUCAGGUACAAUUCCAUAAUCAUUUCAGAAACUAAAUUAAUUAUCAGUAUUAGAUGUGAGUAGCAACAACCUAAGUGGUAAAAUCCCGUGGGGCCGACCUUUCUAAAAACUCUACCUGAAUACAGCAUCUAUCAGUCUUGAAUCUACUCACUAUUAAGUGAAAACUAGGAUUAGGAGUACGUAACGCCGACUGUUAUGCAAAAUCUACUCCACUACAACACUAUAGUAUCAAUCCAAAUAUCUUAGACCCCAUUUAUAGCAUCACAUCUUUACCGCUUCUUAAUAUCUCUUCUAACUUUAUAGGAGGGGAAAUUUCAGGCAAAGGAUUGGCUAAUCUCACGAAACUAGUUCACCUUGACAUGAGUUCGAAUGAGUUUAACGGCACAAUUCCAGCACAAGUUUUCCAAUUGAGGAAUCUGCAAUUUCUUGAUUUAUCUUAUAAUUCACUGAAGGGUGGUUUAAGUAGUGAAGUUGGCAAGCUUGGAAAUUUGAGGACUCUAAAGUUGGAAGAGAAUCGGCUUGAUGGAUAUGUUCCUGUGCAGAUUGGAAAUCUGACAAAGUUGCAACACUUUUCUAUCAAUUACAACAAAUUUUCGGGGCGUAUUCCAGAUUCAAUAGGGUAUUUGAAGGGAUUGGAAAGAUUAUACAUGAGCGAAAACAGUUUCAGUGGUUUAAUACCUCCAUCAAUAAGUAACUUGAUCAGGUUGGAAACACUUCUCUUGGAAAAUAAUAGGCUUUCUGGAGAAAUCCCUUCAAGUUUAUUUGACAUAGAGAGUCUCAAGAUCUUAAAUCUUGGAGGAAACACAUUAACUUGGAAUAACAAUGUCAAAAUAGUUCCCAAGUGUAUGCUUUCUCAACUCUCUCUCAAAUCAUGCAAAUUUUCUGGAGACAUUCCGGAAUGGAUUUCCACUCAGAAAAAUCUUGAUAUUAUCGAUCUGAGCGACUGUAAUUUAACAGGAAUAUUUCCUAUUUGGCUUGCUGAAAUGGAAGUUAAAAGUAUACUUCUGUCGCGUAACAAGCUUACUGGUGCAAUACCAUCUCGCCUUUUUCAAUCUGCGAGUUUAUCCAUUCUGGCUCUUUCAAAAAACAAUUUUUCAGGAGAGUUGCCAAAAAAUAUAGGUGAUGCUAAUAACAUCAAGGUACUUAUGCUGUCUGCAAACAGUUUUUCCGGGGCCAUUCCAAAAUCCAUUGCUGAUAUCCCUCAACUAAUGCUAUUAGACUUGUCAUGAAACAAAUUGUCUGGCAACACAUUCCCAGUUUUUGAUCCUGCAGAUUGCUCACUCAUUUAUGUUGAUUUGUCCUCUAAUGAACUUUCAGGUGACAUUCCUGUGUCAUUUUGCGGAGGAACCAGUAUUCUUGCACUGGGGGGAAAUAAGUUUUCUGGUAUGUUGCCUAGGAAACUCACAAAUAUGAUAAUGCUUGAAUAUCUUGAUCUCCAUGACAACAACAUUACAGGUAAUUUGCCAGAAUUUCUUUCCCAGCUAUCCUACCUUCAAGUUCUUAGUCUACGUAACAAUUCUCUACAUGGCUCACUACCAACCAAGUUGUUCUCCAACCAAAGUAGCCUCAAAAUCCUUGAUCUCUCAAUCAACAAUCUUGUUGGAAAUGUCCCAUCGGAGUUGGAAAAUCUAUACAAGGUCUCUCAAGUCAUAACCAGCAGUUCUAUUCUUUGCUAGACUUGUCGAAGAAUAAGCUCUCCGGUAUUAUUCCAGCUUCAUUAGGAAAGCUCAAGUAUCUAAAGCUACUGAACAUCUCCAACAACAGGCUCUCUGGAUGUAUACCACAAAGUUUUGGGGAUCUUGAGAGUAUAGAAACAUUGGACCUAUCCAACAACAAUAUUUCUGGUACAAUUCCAAAGUCAUUUAUGAAGUUAGAUGAACUCUCUGUGUUAGAUGUGAGCAACAACAAGCUAAGUGGUGAAAUCCCGCGGGGUGGACAAAUGGACACGAUGAAUGAUCCGAGUUAUUUUGCUAACAACAGUGGGUUAUGUGGCAUGCAGAUCAGGGUGAAAUGUUCAAAAGACGAGCCACCACCAGAUGAUGGACAAGAAGAGGAUGACCUUGAUGAAAAAGAGGAAUGGUUCUUGUGGACAGGAGUGUGGAUUGGAUUCCCACUGGGCUUGAUUUCAUCAGUAUUAACAGCAUUUCUUGGUGGGUAUUUUGUUAUACCGAUAACAAAGUACCACUCGAUUCACUAUAGGCAAAGAUGAAUGCAGUGUGUCAUCUAGCACUGGAAGCCCUUGGAUUACAUUGCUCAGGUUGUUAUCUUUGUUCCAAAAUAAAAACAUUGUGGGUUGUAAUUAUAUUAUUGUAGUUUUCCGAUUAUAUUUUCAAUGUAGCUAAAAUAUUUUAUAAAAAAACAAAAACAAGUAACAUCAUUCUUGUCUCAUCUCAUUUGUGAUUUUUGUUGUUUCAAAUUAGAACAAUGCAUUCAAAGAAAAUAUUAAUAAUUAUGUAAAAUAUAGAAAUUAAAUAUUAUUUCUUUCAUUAAAAUAGAUUGAUAUUAUUUAUUAAGAACAUAAUGAACUUGGUUAUUAUAAAUAAUUUCAACAAUCUAAGAAUCAUGGCUAAAGUUCCGCACUUUAAAAGAAUUGUAUAGUAUGAUUCUCUAUCUUAAUAUUUAUUUAGCAUUCAAUAGAUUACGCAAAAAAAUUAUCUAAAUUAAACCAAUAUAAGACAAUGAAUAUAUGCCUAUAUGAUAAUAUUAAUUCUAGCACAUUAUUAUAAAGUGUCAUUAAUCUAAAAAGGGUCAAAAAAAUUUACUAAAUCUCUAUCAACAUUAUCAAACUCACAAAUUCCAAUGUACAACUAUACAAUUAGCAUCAACACUAUUGAUGUUCUUAAUAUUAGAAAUUAUCAAAUUGGGAUUUUGGGUUUGAUAAUUCAUGAAGAGUGUCUGUGUAGUGUAGUUUAUCAUCUUUUUUUUAGAGGACAAAGAGUGCUUGGAUUAUUCAUCUUCACAAGCCUGAUCGAUAUAUAUAAGUAGCGGAGAUAGUGAAUUGGCUUAUAUAUCCUUCUUUCACUGGGUCCAAAUGUUCUCUUUAUUAGCAAUUCAAGGUUGGCAUGUUUGAUGCAAUGAAAGAUGUUAUAUGGGUGUUUGUGUGAAAGUAGAUAAGUGAGCAAAUAUAGUAAAAAUGUAAGAUGUAAUAUAGGUGUGGAAAACAUGUCCUUUUAUCGAUCAGUUUUAAACAGAUCAGUAUUAGAAUUGAUGUAGAAAACAAUAUUCUUAGAAUUGCCAAUGGAGCAUAUUGCUGAAGAAUAUAUAUGUAUGGUAUCAUUGAUUAAAUGAAUUAAAUUUAAUAACCACAAUAAUAAUUAUACAACAUCAAACCUCAAACUAAAAUAACCAAAAAAAAAAACUGAAAUCAAUUGCAUUGUAAUCUUGCAUCUAGAAUAUUAAAAUGUUAUAACAUAGAUAUAAUUUGCAACAAGGUGAAAUUCUUAUUUUUAUAGAAAAUGGAAACAUAACAAUGAUAAAGAUAUUAAUUUCAAUCCAUACUUUGAAGAUAUAUAGAUCUCUCUCCAAAGACAACAAAAUAUGAGAACGACUGAAUAGAUGGAAACAUAGUCAAUUUAGAAUCUUGAAUCUAUAGCACUCAAACAAAAGGUGCCUCAAUGAACAAAGAAUUUCUAUAAAUUACUACAUCUAGAACCACAUAACUUACGGUGGUCAUUGUCCGCACUGUCCCAUAAUUUAUGUCGCCGUUCCAUCUGCGCACCAUGGCGUUGAAAAGGGUAGGUAAUGAGAUAGGGGAAAAACAAGCCCCUGAAAUAAAAAUCAAGUGAAGAAGUUCUUCGGAUCUUAAAAGUCUAUUCGGAACUUCCGAAUACAGAUUGAUAAGAUCUACCAGCGCGACCCUGCCAAAUCCACGAAGAACAUUAACACAAACACGAUUCAACAUAGAAAAGCAAAUUAUCCAGUUUAUUAAUUCCACUGCGGGUGGAACAUUUAGUGACACCACAAUCGGGACAGAUUGCCCUCUAUUGGGUCUAUUUCUCGACCCACGACAAUGUCCAUGACGCCGGGCUGAAGAAACUCCUCCGCCGUUACCCAUCGCAACAUUAACAUUUGACAUAUUAGAUGAACGCGAAUGAAGUUGGAAAGUAAUUUGGCAGCGGCGGAUCAAAAGAACAAUGCACAUAUAUAGACAGAGAUUUAGGGCAGGGUGUUUUUACGGCGCCUUGAGCCUAAGAUUUUAAAAUUUUAAUUAUUUAUUAUGUAUUCAUUUUUAGUUUAAUUUUUUAAUUGCCCUAUUUUGUGGAAAAGUGAAAGAAAAAUAAAAUUUGUUUAACUUAUUGAGUCAUGUCUAAAAAAUAAUAUUUACAUACUUGUAAAACUAUUUAAUAUAAAAUGUGUGUAAAUUGCUAGAAGAUAUGUAAAUAUGAUAUGUAUUAUUGUACUCAUAAAUGUAUUAUCUAACAAUUUACACAUUUUAUUUAAAAUAAUUUUUUAAAUAUGUUAAAAUUUUAUUCUUAAGCAUAACUUUAUGAGUUAAACAAAUUUUAUUUUUCUUUCAUAUUCCCAUUAAAUAGAGCAAUUAAACUAUUCGGUUUGGCUAGUGUGUGCCCAUGGGCACAUGCUAAGCGCGGAAAUUUUUGUAUUUGGGAGAUUUUGAUUGGUGUGGUUGGUGUAUUUGCAGGGGGGUCCACCAUUAUCAUGAGAUAGGAGCCAAUCAAAAUGAUCCAAGUACAAAAUUUUCCGCGCUUAGGAUGUGCCCAUGGGCACAUCAUAGAAAAAUCGUAAACUAUUAAAUUAAAAUUGAAUAUAUAAUAAAUAAUUAAAAUUUUAAAAUCUGAGGCUCAAGACAUCAUGAAAACACCCUCCCUUGUAUCUAUGUUUAUAUCUGUCCAUUUUUCUUUUAUUCUGUUGCUGCCAAAUUACUUUCCAACUUCAUUCGCAUCCAUCAAAUAUGUCAAAUACUAAUAUUGUAGUGGGUUCAGAGGACUUUCUCAUUCCAAGCGUCGUGGACAUUCUCGUGGGUUAAGAAAUAUACCCGAUAGAAGCAAUUUGUCCCGACAUUGAUGUCACUCAAUGUUCCACCCGAAGUGGAGUUAAUAAACUAGUUAAUUGGCUUCUCCAUGUUGAACAAUGUUUGUGUCGAUGUUCUUCAAGGAUUUGGCAAGUUUGCACAAGUGGAUCUUAUCUAUUUGUAUUCGGAAGGUCCGAAUAGACUUUUAAGAUCUGAAAAAUUUCUCGAUUGAUUUUUAUUUCAAAGACUUGUUUUUCCCUAUCUCAUUACCUAGCAUUUUCAACACCAUGGUGCGCAAAUGAAACGGCGACAUAUAUUAUGGAACUGUGCGGACAAUGACAAUUGUAAGUUAUGUGGUUCUAGAUGUAGUAAUUUAUAGAAAUUCUUUAUUCAUUGAGACACCUUUUCUUUGAGUAUUAUAAAUUCAAGAUGCUAAAUUAACUAUGUUUCCAUUUAUUCAAGCCUUCCUUGUGAUUUUGUUGUCUUUUGAGAGAUUUAUAUCUCUUUAAGUAUAGACUGAAAUGAAUAUCUUUAUUAUUGUUAUGUUUUCAUUUUCAAUAAAAAUAAGAAUUUCAGCUUGUUUGCAAAUUAUAUCUACGAAAUAAAAUUUUAAUAUUCUAGAUGCAAAAUUACAAUUUAAUUGAAUUAAGUUCAUUUUUUUGCUUAUUUUAGUUUGGGUCAAUGUUGUAUAAUUAUUUUGUUGCAAACAAUGAUACCAAACAUAUUCUUCUGGCUACUCCAUUGAGAAUUACAAUAAUAUUGUUUUCCUCAUCAACUAAAAUACUGGGUGUCAACUGCAAUACGAUCAGUUUAAAACUUUACUGUAUAUAUGCUCAUUGUAUCUACUUUCACAAAGGCACCAAUAUAAUAUAUUUCAUUGCAUCAAACAUGCUAACCUUGAAUUGCUAAUAAAGAGAGCAUCAUGACCAUUUAGACCUAGCGAAAAAAGGAUAUAUUAGCCAACUCGAUCAAUUAUCUUCUCCUACUUGUAUAUAUCAAGCAGGCUUGUCAAGAUGAAUAAUCUGGACACUCUUUCUCUUCUAUAAAAUGAAUUACAAAACCCCAAUUCCUAAUAUUAAUAACACAAGUUCUCUGGCUUUGAUAAUGUAUAUAGAGAUUUAGUAAAGAAUUGUAACCCUUUCUAAGAUUAAUAGACCAAUGACACACAUCUUAUAAUAAUGUGCUAGAAUUAAUAUUAUCAUAUAUUCAUCAUCUUUUAUGAUAAUUGUUGAAUUUAUAUUUUAAGUAAUCAAAUGAAUGCUAAAUAAACUUUAAGACAAGAAUCAAAUUCUACAAUUCUUUUAAAGUGCCGAACCUUAGCCAAGCUCCAACGUUCUUGAUUGUUUAUAAUAACCAAGUUCAUUAUUUUCUUACUAAAUAAUAUCAAUCUAUUUUAAUAAGAGAAAUAAUAUUUAAUUUCUAUAUUUUACAUAAUUAUUAAUGUUUUUUUUGAAUACAUUGUGCUAAUUUGAAAUAACAAAAAUCACAAAUGACAUGAUACAAAAAUAAUAUUCCUUGUUUUUAAUUCUUUGAAAUAUUUUAACUACAUUGAAAAUAGAAUCAAGAAAUUACUAUUAUAUUUGAAUAAACCCUUUGAUUAUUCAGAAAUAAAGUUUUUAUUCUCUAAAUGCAAGAUUGCAAUAGAAAUUAAAUUAAGUUUUUUUUACUUAUUUUAGUUUGGGAUUCAAUACUUUGUGAUUUUGUGGUUACAGAGAAUGGUUGCUAGCCUAAUGACGCACGUAGUGACAAACAAGAUAUAUCUUUUUUUACAUUAAAUAUUGUUUAUAUUUGUUAAUAAUUACUUAUAUAACUUGACCUUUGACAAACUAGAUAUAUCUUUUGUUUACAUAUAGUAUUGUAUAUAUUUGAUAAUAAUUAUAUGACUUGGCCAUUUAUCAAACCUAGAUAUUUUAGUUAAAAAAAAAAUUCUAGCCCAACUAAAAGUCUGAUAGCCAGUUCUAGACUUCUAGUAUCCAGAUUCAUUCUACUUGAACUUUAAUCACCUAAAGCAUGCAUGCAGAUGGUAUAACAUAUAUAUUACUUUAUUUAUGAGAUCACGGAAAAACAAACAAACAAACCACAUAUUCCCAUUUUUGUUUAUUCCAAACCAAUUGGGUACCAAAUAAUAACUCUGCUUAUGCAUGUACUAAUAGGAGUGAAGUUGAUUUUCAUUAGGACAGAAACAAAUCAUGAUGCAAUUAGUAUAAACACACAAUGAUUUAACUCUGAAUUAACAAACUAAGGAAAACAAACAAGAUAAAUGAAGGAGCAAAAACAUGUUACAAUAGUAGCAUGUUACGAUAGUAUUGUACUUACGUAAUAGAAGAGGAACAGUGUCACGAGCUUCCAAGUCACAACCUUACGAUAGCUUUCUUUCCAUGCAAUAACAAAUACAAUGUGUACUUUUAUAUUAACACUAUGGUGUUGAUAGCAUGUUAGAACAAAUAUACUAUACUAGUUCAGAUAGCAUAUAAGAGUAGUGAAGUUGCAAUAUUUUUCUCUUGUGUGUUAUACAAGCUCAAUCUUCAUCCCUAUUUAUGUGUAUACAAGAUGUAGGUUACAUAAACUUGACGAGCCAAAAGUCAUGGACUUGUAACUUGUAAGGACAUGGACUUAAGUUACAUGUAGUUGAAAGAUCAAAGGGUAGAGCUUUGAACAUUCUAGAGUCAUCCCCUUGUAUACAUAAUAAUAAGUAGAUUAUAACCAUACUAAUCUGUUGGACUUAAGUUACAUGUCGUAUGAUUUCACAUAUGGCUUAUGUCUACAUAGUACCUUAGUACCAAUACUGAUUUUCAACUAACUGAGCUCCUUCCUUGUCAAGUCAAGUCCAUGUUUUCACUACUAUAUUUAUAAGCACCUUAGUUCAUAGGACAUGACAAUUAAAUAUAGUUCCCUCUAUGCUGUACAAUAAAACAUGUUCUAAAGCAAAUAAACCACUCAGUUAUAGAGAGGAGAUUAAAAUAAUUUUAUUUUUAUAAAUAUUUGUGUGAUCCAAAUGUGCAGACACUAAAUUCUUUAGAAAGUUUUUUAUGGGGUUUGAGCAUGAACUAAUUUGGGAAAAAACAUAUACUGGCUGCCAAUAUUUUAUAAACAACAAUAUGAUGACAAGGAAUAUAUGAAAUACAAUUACUCUAAUUUAUUCCAGAACAAAGACGAACACAUUUGGGAUUUAUCUAUACACAUUACUUGUGUUCUUGAUGAUUCUUGAACAUGCACUUUAUUUAGGACAAAGAGUAUACAAGUUAUCAGUUUUAUUAAUAAAUUCUGAACAUAUUACUCACUUAUGGGACAACAGUUGCUAAAUAUAAUAAUUGUAUGUAUAGAUAGUAUAUGAAAUCUGUUACCUUAGGCCUGAAGGUCGAGUGAUGGCAGCACAGUUAUCAUCCAACAGAUUAGUACAUAGGCUUAACAUCCCUGUGAAUAAAAAGUGUUAUUAGCUUUAGUAAUGUGCAGAUAAGGCAUCCAUCUUGCUGCACCAAUAAAAAUAUGAAGUAAUAUUAAAUUUUGUACAAAAUGCCCCCUUGCAGUUCCAACACAAUAUACAUUGAUCAAAUAAGCCAGGACCAUUUCAUUAUCCCCUUCGCGCAGUAAACCAAUUAGUGACACGAAAUGUCUGUGCCUAGAAAUCAUUAGGAUAAAAAAUUUAAGGAUCAACAAAGAAACUAAGAAUCAUUAGCUUCAAACUAAAAACCACCCAGGUUCAGUCAUUCCAUCACAGCAUUACAAACAAUUCUCUAUUCAACACCAAUCAUUGGGUAACACUCAAUUUUACCAAAUAAUUUCCAGAAACAAUACAUUACCUACCAACCUAAUCAAACAAUCACAUUAAUAUAUAUCUAAAGAAUAUAACCACUUACAAUACUACCAAAAAAAAUGAAAAUGAAGAGCACGACAAUACAGUAUUACAUGGGUUCUGUAUGUUGAUUCGAUCACAUUAAAUAGGCUUAAUGACCUUUUAACCCUCGAAGUAUGGGGUGAUGUACCGAUGCGGCCUCAAAGUUUGAAAGCGUACCUUUCGACCCUCAAUGUUUGUACGUCGUACCUUUUAACCCUUUUCGAUUAUACCGGUAUAAAUCGGAGGGGUAAAGUAGAGAAUUCCUAAUUUGGGUUAAGUUUCAGCGUACCAUUUAAACCCUAAAGAAUACAAAACCACUAAACACUAAAGUGAGCUCGAGCUGCUGGCGAUUAGAAGAGACAAGGUGCGAUUUGGUGUGGAUCGAAGUUGUAGAUCGUGAUGGCUAGCAUUAGCAACAGCUCCUCUGGUAAUUUCUUAACCCUAUUUUGAACUUGAAUAAUCUGAUUACCCCCCUGUAGAUGCAUCAAUAUCACAUAGCUUUUGUUUUUUCUUUAUGAUUAUCUUGCAAUGUUUAUCUCGUGGUUUUGUGAUUACAAGGUGAUGAUUGUAUAUCGUUGAGUCUGUUCCAUGGGGGGUGUUUAAAUUNAAACAAAGAGAAUGAAACUGAAACUGCAAAGUUACAAUGUAAAUAUUGCAGUAAAAAUGAAACAACAAUGUGAAAAAAUUAUAAAGGCCGAGCCACAAAACCUCUAAUAACCAUUUUCUCUACCAAUUCUUCAUGUUUCUUUAUCUGUCCUGCUUUUCUCAGCUGCUGCAAAACCAUUUCAUACACUGCCUCACUAGGCUUCAAGCAUUUUUCUUCCAUCAUUUCUCUGAAAAACUUGUAAGCAUUAUUCCAGUGUCCCAUCCCACAAUAUAGGGAUAUCAGAAUCCUGUAAGUAUUCACAUUAGGCUCAAUCUCACCCUCGUCCAUCUCUUCUUUAAGCUUGAUAACCAUGUCAGCAGACUUAGAAUGACGGCUCAUGGCAUAGUUGACAGGUUUGCUUGCUUUAUUUACGAAUAUACAAGCUCAAGUAACUCAAAUAUCCAAAAACAAUUGUGGCAACUUCAGUAAUGACCCCAAAAAUUUGCUGGUGUAUAAACUUAAGCUCAUUAAGACAACAAAGAGAAUGAAACUGAAACUGCAAAGUUACAAUGUAAAUAUUGCAGUAAAAAUGAAACAACAAUGUGAAAAAAUUAUAAAGGCCGAGCCACAAAACCUCUAAUAACCAUUUUCUCUACCAAUUCUUCAUGUUUCUUUAUCUGUCCUGCUUUUCUCAGCUGCUGCAAAACCAUUUCAUACACUGCCUCACUAGGCUUCAAGCAUUUUUCUUCCAUCAUUUCUCUGAAAAACUUGUAAGCAUUAUUCCAGUGUCCCAUCCCACAAUAUAGGGAUAUCAGAAUCCUGUAAGUAUUCACAUUAGGCUCAAUCUCACCCUCGUCCAUCUCUUCUUUAAGCUUGAUAACCAUGUCAGCAGACUUAGAAUCAGCAAACAUCCUCAUCAGUAUAUUGUAUGUCACUGUAUUAGGCUUACACUUUAUCUCUUUCAUCCUCGCAAACAACCUGUGAGCAGAAUUAACAUCCCCUGCUUUCAAAAUACACCUAAAUAUCGGGUUAAAUGUAGAAGCAUUUGCCUCACACCCUUUUCUGACCAUUGUAUUGAUAACCUUAACAGCCUCAUCCCGAUUCUCAUCCCUACAAUGACUCUCUAUAAGAAAAUUAUAAGUAACAGUAUCGGCAGCACAAGAUAGCUUCCUCAUCUGAUUAUACACCUGCAAAACCUUCUCUGUCCGUCCAGCCUUGACAUGCACCCGCAUCAAAUUAUUAAAUGUAAUAGAAUUCGGCUGACAUCCCACAUCAAUCAUCUCCGCAAACACAUCAUGAGCUCGCGUAAUCUGCCCACACCGACACAACGCAUCAAUAACAAUACUAUAAGUAUAAACAUUCGGCUGAAUCCCAACCUCCUUCAUCUCACUAAACACCCUUUCCGCCUCUGAAAUAUUCCCCGCCCUGCACCACCCAUUAACCAAACUAGUAUACACCACAACAUCCGCCUCAAACUUCCCCUUCAACCCAUCAAAAAACUCUUGAGCCUCAACCGCCCUCCUCUUCUUACAAAGAAACGAAACAACAUUAGUAAACGCAAUCUUAUCCGCCACACACCCAUACUCCCCCAUUCUAUUAAACGCAAGAAUCGCCUCACUAGCCAACCCCGCCCUCACAUACCGCCUAAUCAAAACCGAAAACGUCGAAUUCGACACCUCAAUUCCAUUCUCCUUCAUAUCAUCAAUCAAACCCCACGCCACAUCAAAUGCGCGCACCUUUCCACAAAGGUCAAUCAUAUCAUUAUAAGCAUCACUACACUAAUUUAUCAGCCCAAUUAAAGAACGCGAGAGUCUGGCUAAAGGGGAUACCGUGGCGGGGGGACCCGCAUUUGUGGAUGACAUGGCGAAUGACGUUGGGAGAGAGAGAGAUGGGAGAGAUUUGGGAGAGAUCGAAGGAGAGAGUGGGGAGAGAGAGAUUGGAGCGUCAAUCAUCUCCGCAAACACAUCAUGAGCUCGCGUAAUCUGCCCACACCGACACAACGCAUCAAUAACAAUACUAUAAGUAUAAACAUUCGGCUGAAUCCCAACCUCCUUCAUCUCACUAAACACCCUUUCCGCCUCUGAAAUAUUCCCCGCCCUGCACCACCCAUUAACCAAACUAGUAUACACCACAACAUCCGCCUCAAACUUCCCCUUCAACCCAUCAAAAAACUCUUGAGCCUCAACCGCCCUCCUCUUCUUACAAAGAAACGAAACAACAUUAGUAAACGCAAUCUUAUCCGCCACACACCCAUACUCCCCCAUUCUAUUAAACGCAAGAAUCGCCUCACUAGCCAACCCCGCCCUCACAUACCGCCUAAUCAAAACCGAAAACGUCGAAUUCGACACCUCAAUUCCAUUCUCCUUCAUAUCAUCAAUCAAACCCCACGCCACAUCAAAUGCGCGCACCUUUCCACAAAGGUCAAUCAUAUCAUUAUAAGCAUCACUACACUAAUUUAUCAGCCCAAUUAAAGAACGCGAGAGUCUGGCUAAAGGGGAUACCGUGGCGGGGGGACCCGCAUUUGUGGAUGACAUGGCGAAUGACGUUGGGAGAGAGAGAGAUGGGAGAGAUUUGGGAGAGAUCGAAGGAGAGAGUGGGGAGAGAGAGAUUGGAGGUGGGGUUGGGGUUGUUGCGGUGGUGGGUUUUGAUUAGGGAGUGGAGUUGGUCUGAAAUUAGGGUUUCGGAUGGGGAGAGAUGGAGGAUGGGUUUGAUUAAUUCGGGUUCUUCGAGAGUUUGUAGGGCUGGAGAGGUGAGUGUGGAGAGAGGAGAGAUGAGGUGGGAGGGGAGACGUAGGCAUUGCUUUGACUUGAUUAUCAUGGCCGCCAUGGUAGUAGGGGGAGGAAGCUAGCAACCAAAAUGGAU